AGGAAAACAUUUAAAAAAAACAUAAUGGUAUAUAUAUAGUACUAGGGAAAUUAUGGUACCUGCCAUCAAUACAACCUACUGGAUGACUGAAGAAAAAACUACAUUACAUCACAUUAAAGAAAAUAAUAUGAUGACUCUGAAAAUGGCAGGCAUAAGAACACCACCUUUACUGUAUUGACACCAGAUGCCUGAUAUUUAGCCUCGCAAGAUGGAGGGCGACUAUGCUAGAGGGAAUAUAGGCAAUAACGGACGUCAUAAUGGUAGAUAUCCUUGGGUGGCAAGAACAACGAGAAGGAAUUAAAAGUGCCAAGGAAACUAUCUUUAUUUUGCAGGCAUGAAUCCACGAUGCCUCUUUAACCCUACCAAGAUUACUAACGGGUCAGUGCAGCAUGCUGCCUGCUGCCCAUACUCCGUUGCCUAUCGCUCCCUGUUGGAUACCAUAGUCAUUACAGCUAUGGAUACUCCUCUGAUGGCUCCAGCAGUAGGAGCUGUGCCAGUGUUCUGAACUGGAAUGCCACUUUCUGGUCCGGCACAACUCCACUGCCUAUGACAUCCUCCGCAUUCUCCAGAGAUCACUAGUCUAGUCACCUUAUUGCAGCGAGGACUCAUCAACAUCAGCGGCAUCAACCAACCCAGCCUCUGCACCCCAUCCCUCGCUGUCAGCACUAUCUACUCACCGGGAAAGCUUCAAUCAGUAGAGACACCAAAUACUUAGGGAAGCUGAUGAAGCAGUGGCGACCUCCAUUUUAAUCUCCACAAGAACCAUCAAGGAUUCUGAACAACAACCUAUUAGACAUUGACUUGGAGGAUGAAGACUGGCCUGAACUACUAACUGGCUUUUGGUAUCAUAACCCAGCACAUAUAUAUCGUCAACCAGAAAAAGAACAAAGAUCCAUGCCUGCCCCAACAACAAUGCACCAACCACCACCUGCAGCCAAGGAGAAACUUCUGUAACCUGGAACACUUGUCCUUUUCCAGAGAACUUUAAAAAAUAAAAACCUUCUCAAUUUCCUCCAAAAACUGAAUAAAAACUGACCGUCCCUUUGUCUCUUCA